GCUCCAGUGGCGCAAUCGGUUAGCGCGCGGUACUUAUAAGACAGUGCACCCGUGAGCAAUGCCGAGGUUGUGAGUUCAAGCCUCACCUGGAGCA
rnacentral:tRNA from 1 species